UGGGGAAUAUUGCACAAUGGGCGCAAGCCUGAUGCAGCCAUGCCGCGUGUGUGAAGAAGGCCUUCGGGUUGUAAAGCACUUUCAGCGAGGAGGAAGGUGGUGAACUUAAUACGUUCAUCAAUUGACGUUACUCGCAGAAGAAGCACCGGCUAACUCCGUGCCAGCAGCCGCGGUAAUACGGAGGGUGCAAGCGUUAAUCGGAAUUACUGGGCGUAAAGCGCACGCAGGCGGUUUGUUAAGUCAGAUGUGAAAUCCCCGGGCUCAACCUGGGAACUGCAUUUGAAACUGGCAAGCUAGAGUCUCGUAGAGGGGGGUAGAAUUCCAGGUGUAGCGGUGAAAUGCGUAGAGAUCUGGAGGAAUACCGGUGGCGAAGGCGGCCCCCCUGGANGAAGACUGACGCUCAGGUGCGAAAAGGCGUGGGGGAGCAAAACAGGAUUAGAUACCCUGGUAGUCCACGCUGUAAAACGAUGUCGA
rnacentral:rRNA from 1 species